GGACUUCCCAGUUCCUCGAAUUCAGGGUGACAGUUUUUUUUCCUGCUCUGUAUUGGUCUAUCCUUCCAAUGUAAAUUCCUACUGACACAAGACCUGCUCUGUACCUGCAUAAUCUAUCGUGGCUACCCUCGAACCUAAAAUAGGAAUGGGAAAACUGAGCCACACAGGUGGCAACCGGGUGUGCACCUCUGGGUGCACGUACUCCGUUCUCCAGCUUCUAUUGCAGAUCACUGCACAGCCACCCCUGCUCCUGGCAGACCUCUACAUAAACUAGAAUCGCAGCACGUACCUGAUACCCAACAAAGACCGGACGAACGUAAUAGAUGUACCUGUAGUGCCUUCGCCAGGGCUCUAACCUGCCCAGAUCUACGCUAAAAUUAUAUACGCCAGCGCCCAGCAGCUAAGGGUGUCUAUUUGCUGCUUAAAAGUUUAGGGAACGUGUGCUACGAGGACGUGAGGAUGUGCCGAAGCUCAUGAAAAAAGCCUGCGACCAGAGCCAAGAGGCCAGAGCGCCACAGCCUGGCGGUUCUUGCUGUUAGUCUCCGAGCCCGCGACGAUGAAGGUCGGCGGGAAGGAGUCCAAAGGGAUGAAGGACAGGGGGCACUUCCUGCAGACGGAGCUGGGCACCGAGGGGGCACUUCCUGUAGUUGGAGCUGGAGACUCACUGGCAACUUCCGGCAAGCGUUGUGCUCCUUAGAAGCCUGGUGACAAUCUCUGGUGCACCGGUGGAGCCAGGUCGUGGUUUUCCUGACCCGCACCUCUCCUGGUAGUUUCGAAGAAACCAAACACGCGCUCAUUUCCGUAAAUCAUUUCAACAACAACAACAACAAAAAAAAAAAAAAAAAAAAAAAAAAAACCAAAAAACCCUGUAGGAUGUACCUGAGGGAGCGCUCUUGCUUGACAUACUUACUGGGUUCGGUCCCCAGCACCACAAAAGAAAAAUUUUCCUAGACUGUCUUCCAUAAAGACAAAGCUGAGUUGGCCUUUACAGGGUCUUGUGCGGACAGUCAGUUGGGUAAAUACCCAACAAAGCCCUAAGGUGAGUAUACAGAUUUUAUAUGCGUGCAAAAUCCCAGGUAGCUUGAAUUCAAAAGUUAACCAUAUUUACUUCCUGUGUAUUCGACUGGGAGAUCAUAUGACAACUUGGAGCUCUCUUGCUUUGUGGGUCUCAAGGAUUGAACUCAGGUGUGUUGGCAAGCACUUACUGGCGGAUCUACCACCACAACCUUCCUAGAGAUGUCUUAUAAAUUCUCAGGACAUUUGGGAACGUUUUGUUCAUCGAGAAUAAUAGCUUUUGAAGCACUUACGGAAAUCAAAAUUUUCUGUGGACCACUGUGUACAGAAGCCUGAGAAGGCUAGCAGAUCCCCAGAACUGGAACUGUGAGACGCUGUGCUAUGGAGGUGCUAGGAACUGAAAAUGGAUGGGUCCUCUGCAAGAGCAGAGAACCUCAUCAAGCCAGUUUGCUUUUAUGGUGAUGUCUCUGAUGCUGAAAGAGACCAGACUUCUGCCUGAAGGCUUCAUUGCAUUCACUGCACUUGUAGGGUUUUUCUUCAUUGUGGAUUCUAACAUGCUGAUCUAAGUGUGAAUUUAGGCGGAAAGCUUUCUGACACACAUUACAUUUGAAAGGUUUUUCUCCAGUGUGAAUCCUAUGAUGUCGAAUAAGGUCGGAGGUCAAGCUGAAGGCUUUCCCACACUCAUUACAGUGAUGUCUUUUGGAACGACCAUGGACUCUCUGAUGGUGGGUGAGGAGGAGGGCCCGACUAAAGGUUUUCCCACACUCCUUGCAUUCUCGGGGCUCAUCCUGACUGUGAAUUUUUUGGUGUCGAUUAAGAUGAGAGCUUCGCCUGAAGUUCUUUCCACAAUGGAUACACAGAUAGGGUUUUUCUCCAGUAUGGAUCCUGAGAUGCUCCAAAAGACCUGCAUUCUGGCUAAAGACUUUUCCACACUCUUUGCACUGGUAAGGCUUCUCCCCAAGAUGGAUUUUCUGAUGUCUGAUGAGGUGUGAACUUCUCUGAAAGACUUUCCCACACUCUUGGCAGGGAUGACCUUUGUCUUUAGAGAUUUCCUGAUGGUCAGCAGCAACAGAACUCUGAGAUCCUACAGAUUCCCAGGACAUUUCUCCUGUAUGUGCCCUGUCAUGUUCAAUCAGGCCUGAGUUCUGAACAAGUCUCUCCUUAGUUUCCAAGCAUUGGCUGUUAGUUUUUUCCUUGGGCAUGGCUGGAUUCUUUUUCAAGCUCAGGUCCUCACACUGGGCCUCAAUGGGUUCAGUCAUGGUACAAGAUGAUUCCAUUCUUCCACAAGAGUCUGUCCCUGCAAUGAGAUUCCCAUUCUCACUCCUUGUCUCUUUACCUGAAAUAGUAAAUAUAUAUAUCACUAAUUAUUUUAUUUUUGGUGUUCAGGGAAAGGAAUCUGCAAAUAGCAGGAAAUACUUAAAUAAAGCCAUGUGUAUAAAUG
ensembl:processed_transcript 4930470G03Rik RIKEN cDNA 4930470G03 gene